CACAGAGAAAAAUGAAAGAUGCAGUCAUACAGAGUCAGCCCAAACAUUACAUCUGUUUUGUCUUUAUCAAAACCAGGAUUUUUUCUGCACACCUUUCCCGUAAACAAUGUUGUGUACAAUAUCUUCUGGCCUUGGAGGCCUGUGGACAUUUUAUGACCCUUUUUUGAUAAAGGCUGCUCAGCCAGAAAACUUAUUUUCCCUUGAAGUGUUUUUUUUUUUUUUUCUCAUCUAUGUCAGCCUCAGAAAGUGCUAAACAGAGUUACAUUCUCACAGAGCAAAGGUGUAGUAAGUUACAACAAAGAAAGAACCAAUUAGCUCAAAGGUCUGAUGUGGUUAAUUCCAAGGCUGCUACUUGUUUUUCUUACAUUCCAACUACGUUAACUAAUGCACUCCCAGGUGCACAAUGGAUAAGGGAUAUGGGCACUUGGCAGCCAGCAUUGGCUUAGCAAUGAAAUCCUACACCAGCACUACUCUAAUAGUUUUUAACUCUUUGAAAGGCUCUAUAUUUCUAGAAUGUUUUAGGCUUCCCGUGCCUUUCAAGGUUGGGGAAUUGUGAACAAUCAUGUGUGUUAAUUGCAAGAGUAUGGAUAAACCUGUCAGGCAAGCUAGAAUGUCAACAGAGGGGUUUGAAUUGAAAUACUCCUGUUAUGUCCAUUAACUAAAGCCCUAAGUUGAUUUUUUCCAGAGAAAGGUGGUUGGGGAUAGCCCCCUGUUAAUGACAGAAGAGUUGGUGAAAGGCAUAAUAGACAGAUUUUGGUUUUGGGGUAGAUGCUCGAGCAGAUUCAGGGGGUCCCUCGAGGCCUGAUCCCCCUUUGCUUGUCAGGUCUCUUGCACAUGACCUUUGUCAUGGGUGGGAUCUCCUGUGGUGGCUCCCGGCAAUUGGUGGUUCAAACCCUCACCAGUGAUGCAUCUUUCACACUAUAGAACGUAAAGGAUUGGCAUCUCUACCUUUUCUACACCAGCUGUCUUCCCUUAGUGGCCAAGACAGGAACCUCCACUCCUAUAUUCCUCCUGUCCCUUGUAUUUUGUGCACCCCAGGAGAACCUAAACCCAGAUCAUCACUCAUCCUCAGAGAGGAGUUCAGGAGGGAAACAGGCCAGUCACAAUUGAGAAAUUCUCAAAAGAGUAGACUCCUCAUUAAACUGAAUUCCUGUAAAUCGUGAAGUUUCUUCCAUUGUUUGUACUAAUAUUUAUUUACUCCUUUGCAUAUACUUUUGGAAUUAAUUUGGUUCUAUUUUAUUAUGAGUUUCCUGGGUGGCCCUAGUGGUAAAGAAUCCACCUGCCAGUGCAGGUAGACCUAAGAAACCCAAGUUUGAUCCCUGGGUUGGCUAUAUCCCCUGGAGGAGGGCAAGGCAACCCACUCCAGUAUUCUUGCCUAGAAAAUCCCAUGGACAGAGGAGCCUAGGCUUGCAAAGAGUCAGACUCGACUAAAGCCACUUAGUAUGCAUGCAUGCUUGUAUUACUACAAAUAAUGGGCAGUCAUCUUUCUUAUACACAUAUCCACAGAACAGAAUGCCAGAAGAGCAAAUGCUCUAUCAAGAUUAUACAUGGUUUUGUAUAUAAGUCCAUGUAUAUAAUUUUCUUGCCUUUGUUGACUUGUUAGCUAUAAACUGUUAUUUCAGCAAUUGCCUUAGGCUUUAUGCCAUCCAUCUGUAACGUACCACAGUCCACCUUCAAGUGAGUCACACCAGUUCACAUUUCUCCCCUUCCUGCCUUUAUUUAUUUUGUUGCAUUUAACUUUGCAUAUGUUAUAAACCCAGAGUUUAUAACUGUCCAAGUAACAACAAUCCAAGGUUAUUACUUUUCUUAAACUGUCCUAUUUUUUCACCAGUCCUGGGACUGACUAGACUCUGGCCCAAUCCAUUAGCCGGCCAAUUGAAGUGUCUGGACCCCUCAGAGUCACCUUUGUCAGGAACUAGCCCCACCUACCAGCAGUCUGACACCAGCUUUGGGACUCCUGGGCCCUCCCGCCAGACCAGACCUCAGGACCUGGCUUUGCCUACCAGUACUAGCCCUAGCACCUGGCGGUUCCAUAGCCAGCUGCCUCUUGACCCUGCUGUGCUAACCAGCGGCUGGAGAUUCCAAACAAGGCAGGCCCUAGAAAUCAAAGAGAUUGGAGCCAGCUAAUCCUGCCAGACCAUGCACUGUGGUCAGCCAGCCACAACAAAAGGACCCAUGCAGCCCACAUACAGGGCACCCCUAGAGCAUAUUGAUCUGGUGAUGAGAGGGUAGCAGGCUGCUGGGAUCCACAGGAAGUCCCCUACAAAUGGCCACUUCUCUAAGGCCAGGAAACAUAACCACCCUACCAGAUAUAGAGAAAUAAAAACAGUGCAUUAGCAAAAUGAGGUCAUACUCCAAAUGAAGGAACAAGAUAAAACUCCAGACUUAAGUAAAGUGGAGAUAGGCAGUCUUUUACAUAGUUCGUGAGGUUCUCACAGCAAGUAUACUGGGAUGGUUUGCCAUUCCCUCCUCCAGUGGAUCACGUUUUGUCAGAACUCUCUGCUAUAACCAGUCUGUCUUAGGUGGCCCUACACAGCAUGGCUCAUAGCUUCAUUGAGUUAUGGCAAGCCCCUUUACCCCCACAAGGCAGUGAUUCAUGAAGGGGAAAAGUAGAGCUGCAAUCUAUAGCAGGAAAGAUGCAUCCCUGGGUGAACUCGAACCACGAAAUUUUCAGUUAAUAGCCAAACAAGUUAACCGAUUGUGCCACAAAAACAGCCUGAAAUCAUGGAAUCAGAAGAUGGUUGCUUCUUGGCAGGAAAGCUGUGACAAACCUAGACAGUGUGUUGAAAAGCACAGACAUUACUGCAGACAAAGGUCCUUAUAGUCAAGGCUGGUCUUCCCAAUGGUCAUGUAUGAUUGUGAGAGCUGGACCGUAAAAAAGGCAGAAUCCCAAAGAAUUGAUGCCUUCAAACUGUGGUGCUGGAGAAGAAUCCUGAGAGUCCCCUGGACAACAAGGAGAUCAAACCAGCCAAUCUUAAGGGAAAUCAACCCUGAAUACUCAUUGGAACACUGAUGCUGAAGCUGAAGCUCCAGUAUUUUGGUCCUUUGAUGCAAACAGCAGACUCAUUGGAAAAGUCCCUGAUGCUGGGAAAGAUUGAGGGUAGAAGGAGAAGAGAGCAUCAGAGCAUGAGAUCAUAGGAUGGCAUCACCGAUGCAAUGAACAUGAACUUGGGUAAACUCUGGAAGACGGUAAGGGAUUGGGAGGCCUGGUGUGCUGCAGCUCACGGGACCUCAAAGAGUUGGAUACAACUGGUCAACUGAACAACAACAGGCAGUCUACCCCAGAAAAGAUUAGAUUUCAGAGAUGCAGAGAGCAGAAAAAAAGGUGAUUCUCAGCCCCCAGGGCUGAAAGCAGCUGUGCAAGGCUCCCAGCCUUUGCCUCACUGCUCAUCACCCUUCACCACCCUCUCCCUCCUGAGUGAGGCUUUGGGCUCAGAGGCCAGGCCACAAGGUGGGUUCCAUCCUACUCUAGUUUUAGCACUGUGUGCUGGGGGAGCCAAUGUGAUGGUCUCUUUGCCUCAGUUGCCUUAUGAAUCAGGGGCAGACUUGGUUCUCAGUGGGUGAUGAGCAGAUCCAUCUAUUUCCUGUUUCCUGACCUGACUGCGGGGCACCUAUCCUGGUUAAAAGCAUGUGUACCGGCUGCUUUUCCUCCCCAACCAGCUCAAUUUGUGGAGCAUGAAAUUCUUCAUCCUUGUGUCUUUGGUUUGAGCCCCAUGCAGAGUUGAAUUCGUUCUCUAUUUUUCUGUCGUGAAAACCAAAUUGUUUCACAAGUGUGCUGGGGUGAGGAAAGCCAAGUUUGCUUCACAGGGAUGCAUUUCUUGGUUUUCUGAGACAUGAUCCCUGUCAACAUGUAGAGGAGAUUUAGGCCCCUGAAGAGAAGGUGUGGGGAUUUUCAGAUGGAAAGAUAACCUGAAGGCAAGCCUUCUCCUGUGUCCUCCUUGGAAUGUCUGUGGCCUGGCCCCUGAAGAGCUUACUCAGAGCAAAGAAAGGAGGCCUGGUUCCAAGUGCUGAGUUGGCUUACAGUAGUAAGAGAACUUCUCCUGGGUUUGGGGAGAAAAACGCAGCUAUACAUUCUGCCAUAACCCAUC
ensembl:lncRNA